rnacentral:rRNA from 1 species
UACAGAGGGUGCAAGCGUUAAUCGGAUUUACUGGGCGUAAAGCGUGAGUAGGUGGCUCGCUAAGUCGGUUGUGAAAUCCCUGGGCUCAACCUGGGAAUUGCAGUCGAUACUGACGAGCUCGAGUUCGGUAGAGGGUGACGGAAUUCCCGGUGUAGCGGUGAAAUGCGUAGAGAUCCCGAGGAACUCCUGUGGCGAAGGCGGCUUUCUGGGACGGUACUGACGCUGAGACGCGAAAGCGUGGGGAGCGAACAGG